rnacentral:rRNA from 1 species
UACGUAGGGUGCAAGCGUUAAUCGGAAUUACUGGGCGUAAAGCGUGCGCAGGCGGUUUUGUAAGUCUGUUGUGAAAUCCCCCGGGCUCAACCUGGGAAUGGCAAUGGAGACUGCAAGGCUAGAGUUUGGCAGAGGGGGGGGUAGAAUUCCACGUGUAGCAGUGAAAUGCGUAGAUAUGUGGAGGAACACCGAUGGCGAAGGCAGCCCCCUGGGUCAAAACUGACGCUCAUGCACGAAAGCGUGGGGAGCAAACAGG